rnacentral:lncRNA from 10 species
CAGCACUUGAGCAGCUUUCUUCUGCGUUAGGAAGCCUGGGGAGAGGGGAACUGGCUAAAGGGCAAAAUGUCACUGAGGAACUUCGGAGAAGAUGGGGACAAGGCGUCGGGCGGGGGAGCCAGCGCUCAGGAGCCCAGGCACCAUACUGUCUUUUCGAGGUAUGGUGCUGGGUGCAGAUGCAGUGUGGCUCUGGAUAGCACCUUAUGGACAGUUGUGUCCCCAAGGAAGGAUGAGAAUAGCUACUGAAGUCCUAAAGAGCAAGCCUAACUCAAGCCAUUGGCACACAGGCAUUAGACAGAAAGCUGGAAGUUGAAAUGGUGGAGUCCAACUUGCCUGGACCAGCUUAAUGGUUCUGCUCCUGGUAACGUUUUUAUCCAUGGAUGACUUGCUUGGGUAUGGAGAGUCGGCUUGACUACACUGUGUGGAGCAAGUUUUAAAGAAGCAAAGGACUCAGAAUUCAUGAUUGAAGAAAUGCAGGCAGACCUGUUAUCCUAAACUAGGGUUUUUAAUGACCACAACAAGCAAGCAUGCAGCUUACUGCUUGAAAGGGUCUUGCCUCACCCAAGCUAGAGUGCAGUGGCCUUUGAAGCUUACUACAGCCUCAAACUUCUGGGCUCAAGUGAUCCUCAGCCUCCCAGUGGUCUUUGUAGACUGCCUGAUGGAGUCUCAUGGCACAAGAAGAUUAAAACAGUGUCUCCAAUUUUAAUAAAUUUUUGCAAUCCA